rnacentral:rRNA from 1 species
UAAUGUAUGGGGAUCUGCCCGAUAGAGGGGAUAACUACUGGAAACGGUGGCUAAUACCGCAUAAUGUCUACGGACCAAAGCAGGGGCUCUUCGGACCUUGCACUAUCGGAUGAACCCAUAUGGGAUUAGCUAGUAGGUGGGGUAAAGGCUCACCUAGGCGACGAUCUCUAGCUGGUCUGAGAGGAUGAUCAGCCACACUGGGACUGAGACACGGCCCAG